rnacentral:lncRNA from 1 species
AAUUAGCAUGCGAUAAAAUAGAAAAUACUAAUUAGCAUGGUAACGAGGAUUUAAUUAUUCAGUUAAAACUUACUGUCUUUUUUUUUACACUUUACUCACUCAUUUUGUCCACAUAUAUGCUUUAUUGAUAGUCAUCACCAACCACUAUAACGUCUCUAUCUAAAAUACACCAACAUAUACUUAUAUAAUCGAAGUAAAAUACACGUAGGGGGGCAAAUAUACAUAAAUCUAUGAGUAUGAAACUUGUCAUUGCACAAUUUUGAUCUCUAUGUGUAUCUGUGAGAAGAAACAAAGAUAUAAAUAUCUGGUUGGUUAGAAGAAUGUAUACCUACCUUGUUAUUUAAUUCAUGUAAUAUGAAAUAAAUUUACAUAUUUUGUUUUUUCUCAUCACGUCUUUACUAUAAGAAUACAUCAUCUAUGAUGUAUCCAGUUCUUAUCCGAUUCACU